CGGACGGGUGAGUAACGCGUGAGAAUCUGCCUGCAGGUCGGGGACAACAGCGGGAAACUGCUGCUAAUCCCGGAUAAGCCCUAGGGUAAAAGAUUUAUUGCCUGGAGAGGAGCUCGCGUCCGAUUAGCUAGAUGGUGAGGUAAGAGCUCACCAUGGCGACGAUCGGUAGCUGUUCUGAGAGGAAGAUCAGCCACACUGGGACUGAGACACGGCCCAGACUCCUACGGGAGGCAGCAGUGGGGAAUUUUCCGCAAUGGGCGAAAGCCUGACGGAGCAAGACCGCGUGCGGGAAGAAGGCCCUUGGGUCGUAAACCGCUUUUCUUAGGGAAGAAGCUCUGACGGUACCUAAGGAAUCAGCCUCGGCUAACUCCGUGCCAGCAGCCGCGGUAAUACGGAGGAGGCAAGCGUUAUCCGGAAUUAUUGGGCGUAAAGCGUCCGCAGGCGGCUUAUCAAGUCUGCUGUCAAAGACUGGGGCUCAACCCUGGGGAGGCAGUGGAAACUGAGAAGCUAGAGUGCAGUAGGGGUAGAGGGAAUUCCCAGUGUAGCAGUGAAAUGCGUAGAGAUUGGGAAGAACACCGGUGGCGAAAGCGCUCUACUGGGCUGCAACUGACGCUGAGGGACGAAAGCUAGGGGAGCGAAAGGGAUUAGAUACCCCUGUAGU
rnacentral:rRNA from 1 species